rnacentral:rRNA from 1 species
GUAGGUGGCAAGCGUUGUCCGGAAUUAUUGGGCGUAAAGCGCGCGCAGGCGGGUCCUUUAAGUCUGAUGUGAAAGCCCACGGGCUCAACCGUGGAGGGUCAUUGGAAACUGGGGGACUUGAGUACAGAAGAGGAAAGCGGAAUUCCAAGUGUAGCGGUGAAAUGCGUAGAGAUUUGGAGGAACACCAGUGGCGAAGGCGGCUUUCUGGCCUGUAACUGACGCUGAGGCGUGAAAGCGUGGGGAGCAAACAGGAUUAGAUACCCUGGUAGUCCACGCCGUAAACGAUGAGUGCUAAGUGUUAGGGGGUUUCCGCCCCUUAGUGCUGCAGCUAACGCAUUAAGCACUCCGCCUGGGGAGUACGGCCGCAAAGGCUG